UACAGAGGGUGAAAACGUUGUCCGGACUUAUUGGGUUUAAAGGGUGCGUAGGCGGCCUUGUAAGUCAGCGGUGACAUCCCGAGGCUCAACCUCGGAACUGCCGUUGAUACUGGAAAGCUUGAGUUCGGUCGAGGCGGGCGGAACUGGUGGUGUAGCGGUGAAAUGCAUAGAUACCACCAAGAACCCCGAUUGCGUAGGCAGCUCGCUAGGCCGAAACUGACGCUGAGGCACGAAAGCGUGGGGAGCGAACAGG
rnacentral:misc_RNA from 1 species